rnacentral:lncRNA from 10 species
UUUUCCUUUCACUUCACUUGCUUUUACCUUAUUUCUUCUUUACCAUUGUUUUCCCACUUAUGUUAUAUUGUCGUAUUAUUUUGUAAAACAUGUUUUAGAUACAAGGCCGAGUAUAAGCAAAUAAAAGGAAAAUAAAAACAUACAGAUGAUCAAAUAGAGGUGAGUUUCACUUUAGCAAGGGAAACUGAUAUUUAAAGUGUAUCUGUUAAGCGGUUUUUUGUUUGUUUGUUUGUUUGUUUGAGACAAGGCCUCACUCUGUCACCCAGGCUGGAGGGCUGGAGUGCAGUGGCAUGAUCUCAGCUCACCACAACCUCCACCUUCCAGGUUCAAGUGAUUCUCAUGCCUCAGCCACUUGAAUAGCUGGGACUACAGACACACACCACUGCACCCAGCUAAUUUUUUGUAUUUUUUGUAGAGAUGGGGCUUUGCCAUGUUGCCCAGGCUGGUCUCAAACUCCUGGACUCAAGUGAUUCACCCACCUCCACCUCCCAAAGUGCUGGGAUUACAGGCACGAGCCACCAUGCCUGGCCUUGUUGAGCUGUUUUAACUGAGAACAAGAUGCUGGAGGUGCUAAGGAGGUUUUGUGGUUGUUGUAGUAGAGUGGAUGGAAGUUUACUGAGAUUAUAGAAGUUAGGGCUGGCUUAACGCUUCUCUAUCUGGGCUAAUUUUGCUCUGAGGGGACAUCGGUCAAUGCCUGAAGACAUUUUUGUUUGUCAUAACUAAAGAUGAAGUGCCAAUGGCAUCUAGUACCAGAAAUGCUGCUAAACGCCCUACAUUGCAAAGGACAGCUCUCUCCCCUCCCCCAAUAAAGAAUUAUCUGGAUCCAAAUCUCAAUAGUGCUGAAGUUGAAAAACCUUGGAUUAGAUAAAUUAUUUGCCAGAACGAUGGAAGAAUAAGAAUGCUAGGAAAUUACUUGGAGAAUUUGAAGACAGGGUCAGAGAAGAAAGAGCCACCUAGAGCAUGGGCAUACCAGAACCAUGUUUAAUUCCUUCCUGCAUUCACUUGCACACAAAUACUCUUCCCCCAAGCUGUCAGAAAGCAUCAGACUGCCUGAUCUGCAAAGUGAAUUUCAAAAUCUUUUGAGAAACACAAGGACAUUUGCUUCAGGCGCAGAUUUCAUCAUCACCGUCAUAAACAGCAAGUAUAAAGCAAGUCAAUCUCUGGUAUUCAAACCAAAGCUAGAAGAUGAUGGUACUUUGAAGAUGGUUAGUAGAAUUUUAAUUACCUAAAUUUGUUUGGAUGCAUUUUUCAAGCCAUGAUAUUUUACAGUUGGGCAAUCAUUUAUGUAUUGCCUGUGACCACUGCUAGAUGGACCCAAAGUAAGGAUGUGAUUCUCUAACAAGAGGUUUAUAAAAUACGAACACUCUAAGAUUUAUUUGUAAAUAAAUUACACUGUCAGAUGAAAAUGUUUUGAUCACUAAUGUGAAGAUGGUAUCUUUAAUAUUUAAUAGCAACUUUAAUUCUUGUGCUCUUUAUGAAAUGUAGCUACAGUAUCAAUUCCACCUAUGAACAUCCUGAGUAAAUAAUAGAUGUGGGAAAUUUGGAGGUUUUCUAUGAUGUAUUUUGGAUCUCAUGCUAAUAAAGCCAUAUCCUUCAAACGAUGUGAGCGACAGCACCAUUAACAU